GAAGGGAGCUUGCUCCGGGAUUCAGCGGCGGACGGGUGAGUAAUGCCUAGGAAUCUGCCUGGUAGUGGGGGAUAACGUCCGGAAACGGGCGCUAAUACCGCAUACGUCCUGAGGGAGAAAGUGGGGGAUCUUCGGACCUCACGCUAUCAGAUGAGCCUAGGUCGGAUUAGCUAGUUGGUGGGGUAAAGGCCUACCAAGGCGACGAUCCGUAACUGGUCUGAGAGGAUGAUCAGUCACACUGGAACUGAGACACGGUCCAGACUCCUACGGGAGGCAGCAGUGGGGAAUAUUGGACAAUGGGCGAAAGCCUGAUCCAGCCAUGCCGCGUGUGUGAAGAAGGUCUUCGGAUGUAAAGCACUU
rnacentral:rRNA from 1 species